GAUUUUUCGCAUUUGCCAAGGCCCUUUUUAUUACCUCAUUAAUGGCACCACCGCACCUUUUCAGUGUGCUAGGUUGAGGUUGAUGGCUUCUAGGUCCCCAGAUCCAUGAGGUUGCUCGGAGCAGCAUACGUAAUCAGAGUUUACUUAUCAAUUGAAAUCUUGUCUCGUAUAGCUAGGUAAAAUCUUUUAGCUCCACCCUUAUCCUCCCUUUCCUUAUAACUCUUUAGCCGUAUCCUUCGUGAUUUUGAUGAUCAAGAUAAAUCUAGAAUCCAUGGUGAAGCAGAGCGAACAUAAAUCGGAGCAACAUGACUGCCUUAAUCAGUCCAUCUAUCCUCAGGUUCACAUCUCUAAUUUUUCCAAUUAUCUAGGAAUUUUGAAUCUCAGUCCCACGGGCAAAGAAUUUAAUGCUCAUACCAUUGCCAACACUCCCUUGUCAUCGUCAUUUGGGAUAGCUAGGUUUAUUGCAAUAUGAGUACCCUUGCGAGCAAAAAUCACACAUGAAUCAAUCAAAUCGGUAAAAAUCGAAUCAAACUGCAAGUUUGAUUUGAUUUAAAAUUUUACUCGAUUUGAUUUGAUUGAUUUUUAACAUAUAAUAAACAUGUUUGGAUUGAUUCAAAUUUGUUAGUAAAUAAAAUCGCUCACAAAUCGAAUCGAAUCGAUUUUAAUAAAACGAUGUUAUUUUGGAUCGGAUAUUAUUUAUGUUGAAGUAUUAAUAUAUUAAAAAAUAAUUUUAGAUUUAUGAUGUUUUUUAUCAAUUUGAUUUUGCAUUGAUUAACCUUAAAUCCUAAGCGACUUAUUAGAUUGUUUUUUUUUUUGUAAUGUAUUGAAAAUCUUUAUUUCAAUCUUUAAUAAUGGUGUUGGUUUAAAAAUUUUAUUUUAUUGAGUGAUAAUAUCUUAUGUCAAUUUAAAUCAUUUUAUUUGAUAAAUUUUUUUGAUGGUAUUUUUAUGUGAAAAGAAAAUAAGUCUUUAUGAAUCACAAAAGAAAAAAAAAAUGAUAAACCAAACCAAAUCAGACCGUUUAAAUCAUGUUAGUUUGGUUUAAUUUGAUUUUAAUCUUCUACUGAUUCGAUUUGAUUUCUAGAAAUACUAAACCAUUUAGGACCAGCUCAGUUUAGGUUUAAAUAUAAAAUCGUCCAAAUCGAACCAUGCUCGUCUCUAUUUGGGAUAGCUAUGUUUUUUGCAGUGUGAGUACUCAAGAACUUGCUGGCAUCUUUUUUUAUUACAGAGUCUGAAAAUUUCAAAUCCACCCACAACUGUGCGAGGCCUUUGGGAUGCAUGGAAGAAUGAGAAAGAUAAGAGGAAUCUUUCACCACACCUGGAAUGUUUAGUUGCCACUAUCCGCUGGUCUUUAUGGAAAGAAAGAAAUAAGCGGGUGUUUCAAUUCGAAGCCAUCUCCAUAGAGAAACCUCGUCGAGCAUUUGGAAAACUUGUAGCAAUUAUUUUUUUAUUAUUUUUAUUAUUUUUUAUUUAAGGUAAAAGAUAGAAGUAUUUGAUAAUAAUAAGAGCAAAGUGCGGUUGCUGGACAAUUACGGUUUUUAUUGCAAACCGAGUGAUUUGGGUUCGGUGUGCGGG
rnacentral:lncRNA from 1 species